rnacentral:rRNA from 1 species
GAUGAACGCUGGCGGCGUGCCUAAUACAUGCAAGUCGAGCGAACAGACGAGGAGCUUGCUCCUCUGACGUUAGCGGCGGACGGGUGAGUAACACGUGGAUAACCUACCUAUAAGACUGGGAUAACUUCGGGAAACCGGAGCUAAUACCGGAUAAUAUAUUGAACCGCAUGGUUCAAUAGUGAAAGACGGUUUUGCUGUCACUUAUAGAUGGAUCCGCGCCGCAUUAGCUAGUUGGUAAGGUAACGGCUUACCAAGGCAACGAUGCGUAGCCGACCUGAGAGGGUGACCGGCCACACUGAAACUGAGACCGGGUCAAGACCCCUACGGGAGGCAGCAGUAGGGAAUUUUCCGCAAGGGGGGAAGGCCUGACGGGGCAACGCCGGGGAGGGAAUGAAGGUCUUCGGAUCGAAAACCUCUUUUAUGGGGGAAAAACAAAGGGGUAAGUAACUAUGCACGUCUUGACGGUACCUAAUCAGAAAGCCCCGGCUAACUACG